rnacentral:tRNA from 1 species
GCCGGUCGUCGGGCAGGCGCCGCAGUCGGACGCCAACGCGACGUCACUGGUGUUCAGGCUGGUCCACGGCAGGAGUUCGAUUCUCUUCACCGGCG